rnacentral:rRNA from 1 species
UCGAACGGGAUCCAUCCUUCGGGAUGGUGAGAGUGGCGGACGGGUGAGUAACGCGUGGGAACCUGCCCAGUGGUGGGGGAUAACUGCGGGAAACUGCAGCUAAUACCGCAUGAGCCCGAGAGGGGAAAGAUUUAUCGCCAUUGGAGGGGCCCGCGUUCGAUUAGGUAGUUGGUGAGGUAAUGGCUCACCAAGCCGACGAUCGAUAGCUGGUCUGAGAGGAUGAUCAGCCACACUGGGACUGAGAUACGGCCCAGACUCCUACGGGAGGCAGCAGUGGGGAAUAUUGGACAAUGGGGGCAACCCUGAUCCAGCAAUGCCGCGUGAGUGAUGAAGGCCUUCGGGUUGUAAAGCUCUUUUGCCAGGGACGAUGAUGACAGUACCUGGAGAAUAAGCCCCGGCUAACUUCGUGCCAGCAGCCGCGGUAAUACGAAGGGGGCAAGCAUUG